CCAUGGUCCGAUAAACUAUCAACACAGUUAAACCCAGUUAUCAAACAAAAAUCCCUCAAAGUGAAAAUCAAUUUAUGCCCAUUUAAAAGAACAGAAAAAUAGUCGCAAGUAGACUUUGAUAAUUCAUACUUCAUUAAAAGAUGAAUAGAUUGGUUCUGCAUGCAGAUAGGGGGCAUAUCUAGUAAAUAACCAAAACAAGU
rnacentral:lncRNA from 1 species